rnacentral:lncRNA from 1 species
CCUAGUUUUGCAGCAGCUGAAAAUCUAAGUGAUUUCUGUAAUAAUAAUAAUAAUGUGAUAAUCUGUAUUUCAAAGGGAUCAAAGGGUUCUCUUCCCUCACUCCCCGGGGGUUGCUUUCACUUAGGAGAAGCUAGUCUUUCUGAGUGCUCUAGUGCCUCUGUAUCUUUGUUUAAGGCAUUAUCUGCUACAAAUGUAUGGAAAGGAGUGGAAGAAAGGGAAGACAUGGACAUGAAGAAACACUGGCUUAGACUGAAGUUCCUGAAGUCAAAGUAGUAAUGGCAAGCAUUUUAUAGGUCCUGAGAGUAUCUGCCCCAUAAAACCUCUUCUUCCAGCUCAAACCAAACACCAGAAAAUCACAUCUGAGCAAGUGGGCAAUAGUUUUGCCCUUCUUAGCAAAAUCACAGCUUCUCAAGAAGGAAAGUUUCACCUAGGAUCUGCUUGCUGAGGAAAAGGAUCCAAGCCUUGUGUGAAUGUGUCUGAAGGAAUUGCUCCUGGCCUCAUUUGGUGCCAGUGGAUCCACAAAUGUUUACAGCAGAAGAUUCCUGUGUGCCCAUUCC